rnacentral:lncRNA from 10 species
CUCCUCUUCCCGUGUGGAACCCAGGGUUCAAAUGGCUGAGCGGGAAGCGCUCUAGUAGGGACUCUGGCAACUCUGUUUUCUCCUUCUCUUCCUUUUCACCCAAUAAUACCCUGUCUUACUCAUUAUUUCAAAUUGUCUAAGAGCCUGAAUUUUCGUGGCUCUAGGGCAAAGAACCCCGUCUUUAACUGAACUAAGGAAAAGUCCUACAACAUUUUUGGCACGCAACGUGGGAGCUCGAGAAGCGAAAAUGUUUUACUAAGCCAGACCCCCUGUCGGCCCUCCCGCGCACUCCUUUCCCCCAGCAAACUGUCACCCACCACACCAAACAUAUUCCAAAAUUGACCACAUACUUGGAAGUAAAGCUCUCCUCAGCAAAUGUAAAAGAAUAGAAAUUACAACAACCU